UACGUAGGGCGCAAGCGUUAUCCGGAAUUAUUGGGCGUAAAGAGCUCGUAGGCGGUUUGUCGCGUCUGCCGUGAAAGUCCGGGGCUCAACUCCGGAUCUGCGGUGGGUACGGGCAGACUAGAGUGAUGUAGGGGAGACUGGAAUUCCUGGUGUAGCGGUGAAAUGCGCAGAUAUCAGGAGGAACACCGAUGGCGAAGGCAGGUCUCUGGGCAGUAACUGACGCUGAGGAGCGAAAGCAUGGGGAGCGAACAGG
rnacentral:rRNA from 1 species